AAACAAUUUAUUAGGAAAAUACAUUCAAGAAACGUCUCGUGCUGUACUAGCCUAAUUCUGGCAAAUGUUAUUUACUUUCUUCACCUUCGUGUCGAAGACUGUUGUUUGCUGAUGGCCAAAUCACGACACCGGACAUCAAUUAUUCAAAAUAUGUUCUUAUAGCUUCACGUUUACGAUACGAAACACGUUUUAAUGUAAGAUUAUUUAUUUUUUGUAUAUGUAGGUUCUAGUUGAAAGUGACAGCGACAAUGAAAAAAGUGCAAACAACAUUGAAAUAUCCAGUUCACUACCAGCUCAAAUCCUGCGACAUAUCACUUGCUAGUAGCCCAGUAUAGUUUAACCUUUCCCAGUCAAGAAUCAUCUCCUGAAUCAGGCAUACUGGCAGCACUGGUUCAUUUGAUAAUG